rnacentral:rRNA from 1 species
AUUGAACGCUAGCGGGAUGCUUUACACAUGCAAGUCGAACGAGUGGCGGACGGGUGAGUAAUAUAUCGGAACUUGCCCAGUAGCGGGGGAUAACUACUCGAAACAGUGGCUAAUACCGCAUACUAUUGGAGCGGCCCAUCUCGGAUUCGCUAGUUGGUGGGGUAAAGGCUCACCAAGGCAACGAUCCGUAGCUGGUAUGAGAGGAUGACCAGCCACACUGGGACGGAGACACGGACCAGACUCCUACGGGAGGCAGCAGUGGGGAAUUUUGGACAAUGGGGGAAAGCCUGAUGCAGCCAUGCCGCGUGUAUGAGAAGGCCUUCGGGUUGUAAAGUACUUUUGGCGGAGAAGCGGUAUCUGCAGAAUAAGCACCGGCUAACUACGUGCCAGCAGCCGCGGUAAUAC